CAGUCGCCGCGGUAAUACGAAGGGUGCAAGCGUUAAUCGGAAUUACUGGGCGUAAAGCGUGCGUAGGCGGUUUGUUAAGUCUGCUGUGAAAUCCCCGGGCUCAACCUGGGAAUGGCAGUGGAUACUGGCAAGCUAGAGUGUGUCAGAGGAUGGUGGAAUUCCCGGUGUAGCGGUGAAAUGCGUAGAGAUCGGGAGGAACAUCAGUGGCGAAGGCGGCCAUCUGGGACAACACUGACGCUGAGGCACGAAAGCGUGGGGAGCAAACAGGAUUAGAUACCCCCGUAGUCCCUGUCUCAUACAC
rnacentral:rRNA from 1 species